rnacentral:antisense_RNA from 1 species
CUUCAGCGAGCCGAGCCAGAGCGGGCGGUCCGCGGGCCGACCCUGGCCGUAGGUGGCGAGGAGCGCCUGGGCCUC